rnacentral:rRNA from 1 species
UGGGGAAUAUUGCACAAUGGGCGCAAGCCUGAUGCAGCCAUGCCGCGUGUGUGAAGAAGGCCUUCGGGUUGUAAAGCACUUUCAGCGGGGAGGAAGGCGAUAAGGUUAAUAACCUUUUCGAUUGACGUUACCCGCAGAAGAAGCACCGGCUAACUCCGUGCCAGCAGCCGCGGUAAUACGGAGGGUGCAAGCGUUAAUCGGAAUUACUGGGCGUAAAGCGCACGCAGGCGGUCUGUCAAGUCGGAUGUGAAAUCCCCGGGCUCAACCUGGGAACUGCAUUCGAAACUGGCAGGCUAGAGUCUUGUAGAGGGGGGUAGAAUUCCAGGUGUAGCGAUGAAAUGCGUAGAGAUCUGGAGGAAUACCGGUGGCGAAGGCGGCCCCCUGGAAAAAGACUGACGCUCAGGUGCGAAAGCGUGGGGAGCAAACAGG